UACGUAGGGUGCGAGCGUUAAUCGGAAUUACUGGGCGUAAAGCGUGCGCAGGCGGUUCGUGAUGUCUGGUGUGAAAGCCCCGGGCUUAACCUGGGAAUUGCAUUGGAAACUAGCGGGCUGGAGUGUGGCAGAGGGGGGUGGAAUUCCACGUGUAGCAGUGAAAUGCGUAGAGAUGUGGAGGAACACUGAUGGCGAAGGCAGCCCCCUGGGCUAACACUGACGCUCAUGCACGAAAGCGUGGGGAGCAAACAGG
rnacentral:rRNA from 1 species